GUGAACGCUGGCGGUAGGCCUAACACAUGCAAGUCGAACGGCAGCACAGAGGAGCUUGCUCCUUGGGUGGCGAGUGGCGGACGGGUGAGGAAUACAUCGGAAUCUACUCUGUCGUGGGGGAUAACGUAGGGAAACUUACGCUAAUACCGCAUACGACCUACGGGUGAAAGCAGGGGAUCUUCGGACCUUGCGCGAUUGAAUGAGCCGAUGUCGGAUUAGCUAGUUGGCGGGGUAAAGGCCC
rnacentral:rRNA from 1 species